rnacentral:rRNA from 1 species
AGAGAUGUGUGAUGACGCAUAUCAAUAAGCGGAGGAAAAGAAACUAACAAGGAUUCCCUUAGUAACGGCGAGUGAAGCGGGAAGAGCUCAAAUUUGAAAUCUUCAAGGUUCUACCUUGACGAAUUGUAGUUUAUAGAAGUGUUUUCUGUUAGUAGAGUAGCAAAAGUUCUUUGGAAUAGGACAUCAUAGAGGGUGAGAAUCCCGUAUUUGGUCAUUCCUUCUAGCGUUGUGAUACACUUUCAACGAGUCGGAUUGUUUGGGAAUGCAGUCCAAAAUGGGUGGUAAAUUUCAUCUAAAGCUAAAUAUUGGCGAGAGACCGAUAGCGAACAAGUACCGUGAGGGAAAGAUGAAAAGAACUUUGAAAAGAGAGUUAAACAGUACGUGAAAUUGUCAAAAGGGAAGCGUUUGACACCAGUGUUGUUUUUCCGAAAAUCAAUUACGAAUGUUUUGUUUUUAAGAAGUUAUGACUUCAUCGGCUUGCUUCUUUCUUUACGAAACUUUCUUAAUGCACUUUUCGGUUAACAAGUCAACAUCAAUUUCUUUUGUUGUAAAAGGGUACUGAGGAAGGUGGCUUUCUUUUCGGAGAAAGUGUUUAUAGCCUUGUACCUCUGCAAUCGGAGAGAUUGAGGUCUGCAGCGUAGAUCCUUCGGGGUUAGAUACAUUUGUGCUAAGUUAUAGCUUUUCAUAGACAACUUGUUGACUAUGUUUAGUCUUGUAGCUUACUCGCUUAUGCUAUUUUACCUACGCUUAGGAUGUUGACGAUCAGCUGAGCGCG